rnacentral:rRNA from 1 species
GCUCAACCGAGGAAGUGCUUCGAAAACUGGUAAACUUGAGUGCAGAAGAGGAAAGUGGAACUCCAUGUGUAGCGGUGGAAUGCGUAGAUAUAUGGAAGAACACCAGUGGCGAAGGCGGCUUUCUGGUCUGUAACUGACGCUGAGAUUCGAAAGCAUGGGUAGCAAACAGGAUUAGAUACCCUGGUAGUCCAUGCCGUAAACGAUGAGUGCUAAGUGUUGGAGGGUUUCCGCCCUUCAGCGCUGCAGCUAACGCAUUAAGCACUCCGCCUGGGGAGUACGAUCGCAAGACUGAAACUCAAAGGAAUUGACGGGGGCCCGCACAAGCGGUGGAGCAUGUGGUUUAAUUCGAAGCAACGCGAAGAACCUUACCAGGUCUUGACAUACCAUGAAAAGCUUAGAGAUAAGUCUUUCCCUUCGGGGACAUGGAUACAGGUGGUGCAUGGUUGUCGUCAGCUCGUGUCGUGAGAUGUUGGGUUAAGUCCCGCAACGAGCGCAACCCUUAUUAUCAGUUGCCAGCAUUCAGUUGGGCACUCUGGUGAGACUGCCGGUGAUAAACCGGAGGAAGGUGGGGACGACGUCAAAUCAUCAUGCCCCUUAUGACCUGGGCUACACACGUGCUACAAUGGUCGGUACAACG